rnacentral:rRNA from 1 species
CGGGACGGGUGGGUAAUGUCUGGGAAACUGCCCGAUGAGGGGGGAUAACUACUGGAAACGGUAGCUAAUACCGCAUAACGUCGCAAGACCAAAGAGGGGGACCUUAGGGCCUCUUGCCAUCGGAUGUGCCCAGAUGGGAUUAGCUAGUAGGUGGGGUAAUGGCUCACCUAGGCGACGAUCCCUAGCUGGUCUGAGAGGAUGACCAGCCACACUGGAACUGAGACACGGUCCAG